GGGUCGAUGCCCGAGCGGUUAAAGGGGACGGACUGUAAAUUCGUUGGCGUGUCCUACGCUGGUUCAAAUCCAGCUCGGCCCA
rnacentral:tRNA from 1 species